UUGGAGAGUUUGAUCCUGGCUCAGGACGAACGCUGGCGGCGUGCUUAACACAUGCAAGUCGAGCGGAAAGGCCCUUCGGGGUACUCGAGCGGCGAACGGGUGAGUAACACGUGAGUAACCUGCCCCUGACUCUGGGAUAAGCCCGGGAAACUGGGUCUAAUACCGGAUACGACCAUUCCACGCAUGUGGUGGUGGUGGAAAGUCUUUUCGGUUGGGGAUGGGCUCGCGGCCUAUCAGCUUGUUGGUGGGGUAGUGGCCUACCAAGGCGACGACGGGUAGCCGGCCUGAGAGGGCGACCGGCCACACUGGGACUGAGACACGGCCCAGACUC
rnacentral:rRNA from 1 species